rnacentral:rRNA from 1 species
UGGGGAAUUUUGCGCAAUGCUCGAAAGAGUGACGCAGCGACGCCGCGUGAAUGACGAAGGCCUUCGGGUCGUAAAGUUCUUUCGACAGGGAAGAAUGUGUAUAGUAGUAACUGACUAUACAGUGACGGUACCUGUAUAAGCAGCCCCGGCUAACUCCGUGCCAGCAGCCGCGGUAAUACGGAGGGGGCGAGCGUUGUUCGGAGUGACUGGGCGUAAAGAGCACGUAGGCGGUGUUGUAAGUCAUUAGUCAAAGACUAGAGCUCAACUUUAGUAAGGCUAGUGAUACUAUAGUACUAGAGUAUCAGAGAGGAUUGCAGAAUUCCUGGUGUAGCGGUGAAAUGCGUAGAUAUCAGGAGGAAUACCAUUAGCGAAGGCGGCGAUCUGGCUGGAAACUGACGCUGAGGUGCGAAAGCGUGGGUAGCAAACAGG